ensembl:lncRNA
GAUGUACGAAACGAACAGAAUCCGGCCUGCUCUUUCAUAACUGCGUUGGCUCAGCAGGAAGUAAUGGUGUUCAAAACUUGCUUUCUCUUACUGAGUCUUGGAACAGCCUCCUGCACUGUGAGCAUUUUUGGAGGAGGAGAUGCCUGGGGCAGACUUCUCUAGAGAUCAUGAAAGAAAUGCAAUCAACCCCUUGUUUUCCAGUCACUGAAACCCAGCUAUCCUAUUUAUGGAUGUUUUAAAACAGCUAAAGUCACUGCAGUGUAACUGCCAGGAUUGGAUUCUGAGUAUCAUAUCUUGGCUCAUCUGCAGGUUUGGGGACAUCACAUUAAACAUCAUGGAUUUUGAUGACUGCCCUCUCUGCUUCCAGGGGAAUGAUUUUCAAUCGUCUCUGGAGAGAGGAGUGCGUGAAGGAUGGGAUCCAGUGUUGUUAAUUGAGUUCAGUGAGUCUCAAAUUGGCUGCCCACUGGAAUUAUUUGAUUGGUGAUGGAAAGUUAUAAUCCUCAGGACAAUGAAAUUGUAAACUCCACCAGUGACUGUCAAUAAUUGAAAGUGUUCCAGAAGUUACAGCAUCUGCCUAUCCUGUUUUAAGGAGAUCUGCUCCCCAGUGAGAAACUUGAAGAGGCCAUGCGUGUUCUUUGACUUCUUCCAUCUCCUAGCCAACAGCAUAGCAUCUUCUAUCCUCUCUCACCUUCCACCUCUCUCCUAUAAAGAUGCUGGGAAAAAAAGGCUCAGUGUCUAAGCUUGCAGAAUAAGUGACAGAGCUGGUAUUCAAAUGAUCCUUUUGAUUGAAACUAUAUUUUAAUCACUCUGUGGUGUCACAAGCAAAAGAUUUGUCAGACGUGACUCCUGCCCUUCAAGAAACAAACAGAACACAAAGAAAACAAAAUGUCUAACGAGAUACUUUAUAGUUGCUGCAGAUGCAAAGUAUGUUAGGACACGAUCCUUUCAUGGACCUCUCACUGUAGGGCUGGGACAGACAUGACAACAUAUGACGUGUCCAAAGAGGGGUACAAAUAAGCUAUUUGGUUAUCACUAGUGUGAAGCACUUACCUGCCAGGAAAUAUCAAGAAAUUAUCUUUGGUGUUGAUAAGGUAUGCAACUUGAUGUUUUGAUGUAUGUGUACAUUGUGAAAUAAUCACCACGAUCAAGGUAACUUUUGACUACUUUCUUGAGAUCUUCACAUUGCUUCUGUAACAGAGCUAUACCAUACUGAAGAGAGCUUCGAAGUCAGAUAUACCUGGAAGCUGGAAUCUUAGGACAAUAAAGUCACCUAAGUUUCUGCAAGACAGGCCAUACGUGUUCACUAUAUUUCCCAAACAACUCUACAGAGUUCAUGACUACUAAAGAAAUCUGGAUGAUAAGAACCGCCUCUCAGUGUUGUAUUGAGAACUAGCUGAUGAGACUGAGGCUUAGAGAGGUGAAGGGAAUUGUCAAGCUGGGACUUCAAACCCCCAGUGCCUGCACUGUGUCACCGCUGCACCGCCACUGGACACACUCCAAUAGGGUCUCCUGGACUCCUUAAGGGGAGACUGCGAGUUGAAUAUUUUCUGGCAAAACAAAAACACCUGCCUCUUUAAAAUUCGACCCUAAUUGUAAAACAGUUUACUUCUCACUGCAGUACUAGGUAUCAUAUUAAUCUUUCGUUCUGACCUCAUUCUGGCAAGUCGUUUUGGAGAGAGGAAUAAAUAAUGUUCCCGUAAAUUGAUUUAUAUGAACUCUAGAGAUAUAGUACUAGCAAGAAAUACCAGGCCACGUCUUGGCCUCCGUCAGCAGAUCAAAGAUGUCUGUGUCCUAUUAUUUGUCUUCAUAUCAAGUUCAGAAUGAUUACUGAAAUGCUCACUUUCCUAAUAACACACCUUCAAUCAAGUCUCCUGCACUUUGACCUCUGCUGAUCUGGUCUCAAAUACAAUGCAAUGACUUCUCCCAACAGCCAGGAAACAACCAGUUGUAGGAAUCUGAACUUGAAGUGGAGGGUCAGGCUGGAACUGAGAAGAUGAGCAAUCAGAACAAGGAGGUUAUACUUGUAGACUUCCAAGUACUAAAAUGAACUCUGCAAAAAUACUCUAUUGUAGAGCCUCACGGGGCCCUGCCCCUUUCACUUCGAG